UCGUUGGCUGAACCUGCGGAAGGAUACAUUACUGAUUUGCUUAAUUGCACCACAUGUGUUUUUCUUUGAAACAAACUUGCUUUGGCGGUGGGCCCAGCCUGCCGCCAGAGGUCUAAACUUACAACCAAUUUUUUAUCAACUUGUCACACCAGAUUAUUACUAAUAGUCAAAACUUUCAACAACGGAUCUCUUGGUUCUCGCAUCGAUGAAGAACGCAGCGAAAUGCGAUACGUAAUAUGAAUUGCAGAUAUUCGUGAAUCAUCGAAUCUUUGAACGCACAUUGCGCCCUCUGGUAUUCCGGAGGGCAUGCCUGUUUGAGCGUCGUUUCUCCCUCAAACCGCUGGGUUUGGUGUUGAGCAAUACGACUUGGGUUUGCUUGAAAGACGGUAGUGGUAAGGCGGGAUCGCUUUGACAAUGGCUUAGGUCUAACCAAAAACAUUGCUUGCGGCGGUAACGUCCACCACGUAUAUCUUCAAACUUUGACCUCAAAUCAGGUAGGACUACCCGCUGAACUUAAGCAUAUCAAUAAGCGGAGGAA
rnacentral:misc_RNA from 1 species